rnacentral:tRNA from 1 species
GAUGAGAUGGCUCAGCGGUUUAAGAGCACUGACUGCUCUUCCAGAGGUCCUGAGUUCAAAUCCCAGCAACCACA